AAUAGAUACCCAGGUAGUCCACGCCGUAAACGAUGGAUACUAGCUGUCCGGCGCAAGCUGGGUGGCUAAGCGAAAGUGAUAAGUAUCCCACCUGGGGAGUACGUUCGCAAGAAUGAAACUCAAAGGAAUUGACGGGGGCCCGCACAAGCGGUGGAGCAUGUGGUUUAAUUCGAUGAUACGCGAGGAACCUUACCAGGGCUUAAAUGUAGUGGGACAGGUCCAGAGAUGGGCCCUUCUUCGGACUCAUUACAAGGUGCUGCAUGGUUGUCGUCAGCUCGUGCCGUGAGGUGUCAGGUUAAGUCCUAUAACGAGCGCAACCCCUGUCGUUAGUUGCCAGCGAGUGAAGUCGGGAACUCGUAACGAGACUGCCGGUGCAAACCGUGAGGAAGGUGGGGAUGACGUCAAAUCAUCACGGCCCUUACGUCCUGGGCUACACACGUGGCUACAAUGGCCGGUACAGAGAGCAGCCACGCCGCAAGGCGGAGCGAAUCUACAAAACCGGUCACAGUUCGGAUCGGGGUCUGCAACUCGACCCCGU
rnacentral:rRNA from 1 species